UACGAAGGGGGCUAGCGUUGCUCGGAAUCACUGGGCGUAAAGCGCACGUAGGCGGAUUGUUAAGUCAGGGGUGAAAUCCUGGGGCUCAACCUCAGAAUUGCCUCCGAUACUGGCAGUCUCGAGUGCGGGAGAGGUGAGUGGAAUUCCCAGUGUAGAGGUGAAAUUCGUAGAUAUUGGGAAGAACACCAGUGGCGAAGGCGGCUCACUGGCCCGUAACUGACGCUGAGGUGCGAAAGCGUGGGGAGCAAACAGG
rnacentral:rRNA from 1 species